rnacentral:rRNA from 1 species
UAAGCAUAUCAAUAAGCGGAGGAAAAGAAACCAACAGGGAUUGCCUCAGUAACGGCGAGUGAAGCGGCAACAGCUCAAAUUUGAAAUCUGGCCCCGUCGGGGUCCGAGUUGUAAUUUGUAGAGAGUGUUUCGGGUGACACCACGGUCUAAGUCUAUUGGAACAUGGCGUCAUAGAGGGUGAGAAUCCCGUAUGUGACCGUGGCUCGAGCCCAUGUGAAGCCUCUUCGACGAGUCGAGUUGUUUGGGAAUGCAGCUCAAAAUGGGUGGUAAAUUUCAUCUAAAGCUAAAUACUGGCUGGAGACCGAUAGCGCACAAGUAGAGUGAUCGAAAGAUGAAAAGCACUUUGGAAAGAGAGUCAAAAAGUACGUGAAAUUGUUGAAAGGGAAGCGCUUGCAACCAGACCUGUCCGUAGGUGAUCAGCCGCUGUUCUCAGCGGUGCACUCGCUCUGCGAUCAGGCCAGCAUCGGUUUCGGCGGUCGGAUAAAGGCCUUGGGAAUGUAGCUUCCUUCGGGGAGUCUUAUAGCCCUCGGUGCAAUGCGGCCAGCCGGGACCGAGGACCGCGCUUCGGCUAGGAUGCUGGCGUAAUGGUUGUAAGCGACCCGUCUUGAAACACGGACCAAGGAGUCUAACAUCUAUGCGAGUGUUUGGGUGUCAAACCCAUGCGCGGAAUGAAAGUGAACGGAGGUGAGAACCCUUUAGGGCGCAUCAUCGACCGAUCCAGAUGUCUUCGGAUGGAUUUGAGUAUGAGCAUAGCUGUUGGGACCCGAAAGAUGGUGAACUAUGCCUGAAUAGGGUGAAGCCAGAGGAAACUCUGGUGGAGGCUCGCAGCGGUUCUGACGUGCAAAUCGAUCGUCAAAUUUGGGUAUAGGGGCGAAAGACUAAUCGAACCAUCU